UGGCUCAGUUGGUAGAGCAUGGUGUUUGCAAUGCCAGCAUGGUGUGUGCAAAUGCCAGGGUUGUGGGUUCAAUUCCCAU
rnacentral:tRNA from 1 species